UGUGGCUCAGUCAACAGAGCAUAAGACUCUUAAUCUCAGGGUUGUGGGUUUAAGCCUCACAUUGGGCAAAA